rnacentral:rRNA from 1 species
CACGUAGGCGGAUAUUUAAGUCAGGGGUGAAAUCCCGGGGCUCAACCCCGGAACUGCCUUUGAUACUGGAUAUCUCGAGUCCGAGAGAGGUGAGUGGAAUUCCGAGUGUAGAGGUGAAAUUCGUAGAUAUUCGGAGGAACACCAGUGGCGAAGGCGGCUCACUGGCUCGGUACUGACGCUGAGGUGCGAAAGCGUGGGGAAGCAAACA